rnacentral:tRNA from 1 species
GCCUGGGGGGCUUAGUCGGUUAAGUGUCUGACUUCGGCUCAGGUCAUGAUCUCACAGUUCGUGGGAUCGAGCCCCGCGCUGGGCU